rnacentral:rRNA from 1 species
UACGAAGGGGGCUAGCGUUGCUCGGAUUCAUUGGGCGUAAAGGGUGCGCAGGUGGUCGGGUAAGUCUGACGUGAAAUCCCGCAGCUUAACUGCGGAAUGGCAUUGGAUACUAUUCGGCUAGAGGGUUGGAGGGGGGACUGGAAUUCUCGGUGUAGCAGUGAAAUGCGUAGAUAUCGAGAGGAACACCAGUGGCGAAGGCGAGUCCCUGGACAACUCCUGACGCUGAGGCACGAAAGCUAGGGGAGCAAACAGG